rnacentral:rRNA from 1 species
UACAGAGGGGGCAAGCGUUGUUCGGAAUUACUGGGCGUAAAGGGCGCGUAGGCGGCCGCCUAAGUCAGACGUGAAAUCCCUCGGCUCAACCGGGGAACUGCGUCUGAUACUGGGUGGCUUGAAUCCGGAAGAGGCGAGUGGAAUUCCUGGUGUAGCGGUGGAAUGCGCAGAUAUCAGGAGGAACACCAAUAGCGAAGGCAGCUCGCUGGGACGGUAUUGACGCUAAGGCGCGAAAGCGUGGGGAGCAAACAGG